rnacentral:rRNA from 1 species
CCUGAGAAACCCAAAAGAUCGAAUGGGGAGAUUCAUCGUCAGCGAUCCAGGCACGUGUGCGGUUCGUGAUGCCGGGGAUUUCGGUCUCAUGGCACACGUCUGUAUGGUUAUUUGCCGGGUGUCGUCGGCGUGCACUUCUCCCCUAGUAGGACGUCGCGACCCGUUGGGUGUCGGURUACGGCCCGGGUGGGCGCCUGUCAUGUGUUACGCUUUACGGCGUCAUGUGGCAGACCCCCGGUUGUCUAACCAGCUGCUCGGCGGUACUCGCACGGUAUCGAGUCGCAAAUAUUCGAACUGCGUCCGGCCCGCCGCAAGCGAGACCAGUGUUUCCCGGAUGCGCGGACCUAGUGCCGUCACCGGGCCUGGCCAGCUGUUGGUCGGUGGUGUUACUGGGACUGGCUCAUGAAUUAUGAUAACCGGGCGGCGACGCUACUGCUUUGGGUACUUUCAAGA